CAAGUGACGGUACCUGCAGAANAAGCGCCGGCUAACUACGUGCCAGCAGCCGCGGUAAUACGUAGGGCGCGAGCGUUAUCCGGAAUUAUUGGGCGUAAAGAGCUCGUAGGCGGCUUGUCGCGUCUGCUGUGAAAGCCCGGGGCUCAACCCCGGGUCUGCAGUGGGUACGGGCAGGCUGGAGUGCAGUAGGGGAGACUGGAAUUCCUGGUGUAGCGGUGAAAUGCGCAGAUAUCAGGAGGAACACCGAUGGCCAAGGCAGGUCUCUGGGCUGUAACUGACGCUGAGGAGCCC
rnacentral:rRNA from 1 species